GGUGCCACGUGGAAACAGCCCAAGCCAAACCCCUAGGACCUGUCUCCCUGUCCUCCUAGAGAGCUGAAGGUGUUCCGUGGUCAGUGAGGGCUGGCACUGGCUCUGCACGAAGAUCUCCUCACCUCCCCAGCGGCUCCUGGCCAGCUCCCCACGGAGAGCCCAGGACACUUGUCCCUGGACACAGUGGUGCAGCCAUGCUUGGGCCAAACCAUGAGGCCACCAGAACCGCGAAAGGCUACUGUACUGAGAGGGAUACUGCGAGAGAGGCCCACAGGUUUCCAAGCAUCCCUCUCACUCCGCACACUCAUCUCCACGACCGGCUUUAAGUGCGGCCUUGAGGCCUGGCUCCCUGUUUGGACUUCUCUGCACCUCCAGGAGCUCACUUCCCGUCACAGCUGGAUGCCUCCUCCCGCAGGCACCUCCCGGGCAUCCUCCCGCCCCAGGCUGCACCUUCUGUGGGACUGGCCCCCGCAGGCACCUCCCGGGCACCCUCCCGCCCCAGGCUGCAGCUUCUGUGGGACUGAGCCCCGCAGGCACCUCCCCGGCAUCCUCCCGCCCCAGGCUGCACCUUCUGUGGGACUGAGCCCCGCAGGCACUUCCCCGGCAUCCUCCCGCCCCAGGCUGCAGCUUCUGUGGGACUGACCUUAAGACCCCAUCGGUUCCUCCUGAGAGCAGCAGAUCUCAGCCAGAUGCUGCCGGGAGGGAGGUGCUAGCGUCCACACCCAGACGGGUCCAGUCCAGCCCUGCUCUCCCUGGUCUCCAGGCAGGGCCCUCCCAGGGUGGACAUUGCCCAUCUCUGCCUGGCCAGGGGCUGCUGACCCACUGGUUCCAGAGUCUGAGCCUGUCCUGCACAAGUACCAUGGACAGGGGUCAGCCGGGCACUGAAGAGGCGUGGCAGAAUUGGGCAGGGCAAGGGCCCCAGCUGGCAAGCUGGAGUCAGGGCAAUUCCAACCAAGAAACUGCGGCAGGCCGGGUGCAGUGUCUCAAGCCUAUAAUCCCAGCACUUUGGGAGGCAGUGGGAGAAUCGCUUGAGCCCGGGAGUUUGAGACCAGCAUUGGUAACAUAGAGACCCUAUCGCUACAAGAAAAAAAAAAAAAAAAAGCUGGGCAUGGUGGUGCACACCUGUUGUCCCAGCUAUUCAGGAGGCUGACGUGGGAGGAUUGCUUGUGCCCAGGGGUUGCAGGCUGCAGUGAGCUGUGAUCAUACCACUGCACUCCAGCCUGGGCGACAGAGAACCUCUCUAAAAAAAAAGGAAAAUGAAAAAUAAA
rnacentral:lncRNA from 1 species